rnacentral:tRNA from 2 species
GCCGUCGUAGCUCAGUCCGGUAGAGCCCCCGACUGUUAAUCGGGUGGUCUGCGGUUCGAAUCCGCACGACGGCG